CCAACACUUGCAACGUGAAGCCCUUUAGAAACUACUGAUCUUCCCUCUUUAAAAGUCUAUUUCCAAUUUCUGCUUCUUGCCCUGACGAGUACCUAACACAAGACUAUCCCCUCCUCCAUAAAUAUGUAGGCAACCGAACAAAGAUACACAAACUGUUUUCAGACAGUGGGGACAGGGAGCAGAGGACCGAGUCCCCUGAGAGAAAGAAAAUCGAUGAGACAAGCUCUCUGAGAGCUCAGCUUUCUGCACAAAGCAGCUUCUGGGCCAGAGUGUGAUGGACGCCUGAGUAAAAUGCAAGAGCUUCACUGAGCUGAGCAGACGGAAGACAGUUCAGGAAGGACUGGGUGGGUGAAAUCCGUGGGAGAGAGUAAUGGAAAUGAGGGAGAUAAGCAGAGAAAGAGCUCCAGAAAUUGUUCACAGGAUUUUGAUUACGUUUUUGGCAGAAUAGAAAGCCACCCAUGCGGGAGAGUGUGCGGUGAGGAUAGAGAACCCGUGGGGAGCAGACACCCAGACACAGGACCAUGGAGACACCAUGGAGAUCACAGAGUAGAAAAGUAAGCCCCAUCACCCAACAGAAUGGAGAAAAGCGCCUGCACUGGGGACCAUUUGAGGGAUCAGAUAUGGUAUCUGGUCAAACUACACCAUCCAUGGGGUCACAGAGAGAGAGAGAGGCAGAGACACAGGCAGAGGGAGAAGCAGGCUCCAUGCACCGGGAGCCCGACGUGGGAUUCGAUCCCGGGUCUCCAGGAUCGCGCCCUGAGCCAAAGGCAGGCGCCAAACCUCUGCGCCACCCAGGGAUCCCUUUGCUGAUGUCUUUAUGGCCACAGUUCCCUCAUGUGAAAUGACUUAUUUCUAAGCAGCGAUAGACCAUGUCCGAAGUCCCUCUAAGGAGUGAUAUGGCUCUCCGGCCACGUAAGAGAAGAUUGCUUCACUGUUAGUAGGCACAGUCUAUCAAAUAAACUUCAAUCCAUGAAUGAUUAUGAAAUUCUCUGAGGAAAUAAAUUCUUAAUUGGAGUCAUUUUGCUAUUUAAGAUCCCCGUGGCAUUAAAAAGGGCACGUGAUGUAACAAGCCCUGGAUGUUACAUACAAUUGAUGAAUCACUGAACUCUACCUCUGAAACUAAUAAUACACUAUACGUUAAUGAAAAAAAAUAAAAAUAAAAUGCCCAUGA